rnacentral:rRNA from 1 species
AUGGGAACCAAGAAGAAGACGAAGCCGAGCAGGGGCAGGAAGAAGCCGAGGACCAGCGCUGACCAGGCCCUGGCCCUGGACUACGUCCGCGCCUGGGCGCACCCCACGCCCCCUCCGGAACCCUCGACGGCCGAUGCCGUGGGCGGCUUCCUGCCGCCCCAUGCCGCGCGCAUGGCCUGCAGCGGCGGGGCCAACGUGCUGUUUGAGCUUCACUCCCACUCCAACCAUAGCGACGGGUUCCUGUCGCCCUCCGCUCUCGUCGAGCGCGCCCACCGCAACGGGGUGAAAGUUCUCGCUCUAACAGAUCAUGAUACCAUGGCUGGUAUACCGGAAGCUAUGUCUGCAGCUCAUAAAUGUGGCAUAAGAAUAAUUCCUGGCGUAGAAAUUAGUGCACUACAUUCUCCACGGGAAAUUCCUGGUGCUGGUGAACCUGUUCAUAUUCUUGCAUACUAUGGUAUGUGUGGCCCAUCAAGGUUUGAUGAGUUGGACAGCAUGCUCUUGAACAUUAGAAACGGGCGAUACCUACGCGCAAAGAAUAUGCUGGCAAAGCUAAACAGUUUGAAGGUGCCAAUAAAGUGGGAGCGUGUAACUAAGAUUGCUGGUGAGGGAGUGGCACCUGGUCGACUCCAUAUUGCAAGGGCUUUGGUUGAAGCAGGUUAUGUAGAUAAUGUCAGGCAAGCGUUUAAUAAGUAUCUUGGUGAUGAUGGCCCUGCAUAUGCCACAGGGAGUGAACCAUUUACUGAAACUGUGGUGCAGAUGAUUAGCCGUACUGGAGGUAUAUCUGCAUUAGCCCACCCAUGGUCAUUGAAGAAUCCGGAUGCCAUCAUUUGGUCCUUGAAAGGUGCUGGUCUUCAUGCUAUGGAGGUUUACAGAAGUGAUGGGAAGGUUGAUGGGUUUAGUCAAUUAGCUGAGAAGUACGGACUUCUGAAGCUUGGAGGUUCAGAUUUUCAUGGAAAAGGGACGAAAGACGAGACUGACGUUGGAGCAGUUAAGCUUGCUAUUACAACUUUGUCCUCCUUCUUGGAGAUGGCUCGGCCUAUCUGGUGUAGUGCAAUGAAAGACAUCUUACUGAAGUUUGCAGAGGAGCCAUCUGCUGCCAAUCUAGGGAAGAUACUUAAGUUUGGACAACCUGCAAAUUCUGAUGGCUCUGCACCAAUUGAUAGUGGUACGGAUGUUGUUAAUCUCUGCUUAUCUUCAUGGUUAAGUUAUGAUGAUAUGGAAGAUGUUGAGCUUGAGGAAGUACGAUCAAAGCUUGUUUGCUAUGCAGCAAAAACAUAA